rnacentral:rRNA from 1 species
AGUUCCAGUUAAACACCCUUACCCCACCUCGAAGUCUGACUGUGACGGAUCUGAGAAGCUAAGCAGGACAGUACCUGAUUAGUACUGGGACAGGAGACCUCCAAGGAAGACCAGGUUGCUGCUGUUA